UUCACCCUACUUAUUUGAUGCCACAUCAUCUGCCAGGAAACCGACGCCAUGAGUAUUAACACUGAAUCAUAUCUAGUCUGCCCUAUCGACAAUCCGUUAUGUUGUAUCUGCUUUAUCUUCCAGAAUUCUUGAUUCACACACACUUCUCCCUCCAUUCAUCCACCUUAAUCGCUCCCAUUACAACAACUUUGACUUCCUCUUCAAGAAUACCUCCUACCACAUCGUUCACAAAAAAAAAACCAUACUUCGUUUUCAUCUUCGUCUCUUGGGGAUCGAUUAAAAUUCUUGGAUUCCUUUACAAAAUAAAGUCGAUGAUGUAAACAGUUCUUGGUCGUCGUCCAACAAAAUUGUAUUAGUUGUGAGGUAUGCAUGGGGAAUUACUUUUGUCAAAAUGAAAAUUAUGCCACAAUAAUGUAUAAGCAUUGACGUCAAACAAGCUUGGAUUUUGAGGUGUUUAUGCAUUUUGCCAAAUCGAACCUAGAGUAGGUAUCAUCAAACUAUAAGGAGGUCUUUGAUUGUUAGUUCUGUUUUGGCUUAUAAGCUUAAUUUUGGUUA